CAGAUACGGAUCGGUCCGUCGGUGGCCAUUGUCCGCAAGACAGAGCUGACGACCAAAGUUACGGAUAGUGAUAUAGAUAGUCGAAUGUAAUAAUCAUUCAUUGUCAGUUAUGAAUGAUGCUUCUUGACGAGAAAAAGUCAUUUAUUUCUCACGACGAAUAAUUCACUUGUGACUCAUGCGAUAUAAAUUGUAAAGCUUUGUACGACUGCAGGCUUCUUAGAAUUCUAGUGUCAAGUGAAUUUAAUUAGAACGACUACGUGUUCGUGGCAGCAUAAUUCAGUUGCACAUGUUCAAAACGUCCUUAGCGAUAAAAAGCAAUAUGUACUGGUCACUUCGCACCAAACCAAUAUAUCUCUCAAGAUAUAAGACUUCUUCCUCAAAGAUAUAUCAACGUUAUAUGAGGGGGUAGAGAUUCAUAUUGGUGGAAGUCACUUUUCGAUCAAGUUGCACUACAAAUGCUAAUACGUCCAACGAAAACAUUUAAUGUCAGCUUUUUGCAAAGAUUCGUGCUUCUGCGAUUGCUGAAGACGAUUUCAUCCCUCAGCAAAAGAAAUUUUCAUCCCUUCGAUUUGAAGGGAAGUAUAACGCGCAAACGUUUAUCGUACCACCGUCAAACUGACAAUGUUCUACCUAUGCGUCGCGUGUUUCGACGACCGUCGCGAGCACGUGGUCGCGGAGAUUCGCUGCUAAGCAUUGGAUAGCGUCGAGGCGGCCCUGUAGACCAGAAACCGAGCGAGACUCGUGUCAGGAGAGCCCCACCAGAACAUCACGUGGGUUCGCAGGCCCACGGCACACGGGUACACGACUGACAGUUCCCAGUCAGCUGAUCGUCCACCCGGGAGGGUGAGAGGUAGGAGGUAGCAGUCAGCACCAGCAGCAGCAGUAGCAGUAGCACAAGUAGAGGAGGUGGUGGAGGUGACGGAGGAGGAUGAGGGAAGGAAGGGGCGCGGGUUAGCAGAGAGAAGAAGGGAAGGAGGGCGGAGGGGUUGGCGACGCGCAGUCUGCCGUCGUCGUCGGGAUCAGCUGAUCGGUGGAGGUGUGCUGGUAGCUGACUGACUGUGAACUCUCUCAAUGAACCAACGGACGAAGAAGUCUUCGCGUGCGUACACACACGUACAUGGGGAGUGAGAGCACGCUUCCCGCGGGGGGCCGAGGGAGAGGGAAGGGAAGCGAGCGAGCGCGUAUGCGCGCCUGUCUGCCUAACUAUGCGCCAGAGCACUCGCGAGGGAGCGAGCGUUUAGUAGCUAACGGAAGUAGUAGUGGCCCGGCACCGAGAGCUUCGAAUGACCUCGACGUUUGCGCCGCGACGAGCCGUUCUUCGGCCUCUUCACGGAGAGGGUUGGUUGCAGCGUACGGUGGUACUGUACAUCAGCCAAGGAACAAACUUCAGGACCGAGCGGAGUUGUAAAAUACACUAAUCAGCGAGAACGCUUACGGAGGCAGCCGUAAAAAAAGGUGUACUGUGCUCAAACGUAAUUGGGGAUUGUGCUAUGUUUACCUGGGUCUAGUUUUUCCACCGAGAUACGUUUAUAAAACUCUUUUAGCUUCCUGUUGAAAACACGACCACAAAUCAGAUAUCAUUAAGCAAUACUUUCUGUAUGUGUGUACCAAAUUAUGCAGAUAUAUUUUUGCAUUAAUCCAGUUCAGUGAUGAGGAAAAUAACGUAAUAGUUAACUACAAACUAAAUAUUGCUACAGGGGUAAUAUAUAGAUAUUUAAGCCAUUAUAAGGGAUGAUUUCCUCGCUAGAGAUCGUGGAUGCACCAGCCGCAACUGCUUAAUUGCUACAUAGUAGCGGUAUCAGAGGUUGUCGACACAGGAACAAUAUCCUUUGAUGUUGUUACAAUGUUAAAUAUCUAGGAUCAGGUGAAUUGCGGCAGCUUUUGAGACCUUUAGCUAGAGAACUAUCUUCAUAAGAUAUUGUCGAGGAUUACCUACGGUACAUAUUGUAAUUUCUCUAUUAAUCACACAUAGGAUGAAUACCUUUUACAGUCUUUAAAAUUUAAAGGAAUAGGACUUUGUUUACGAUUUCAUAACUUGUUUUAGAAGAUCGUAACGCACAUUCAUACAAAGACAGUGAAAAGCAAUAAACCACAAACACGUAAUUCAUUCUCGCGAAUAUUUAGAUAUAUCGUAAUUUUUGUAGUUAUCUAGUCAUCAUUUUGAUUAACGAGAGAGAUAAUAUCAAGAAGGUCAAUUCGCAAUUGCGUAAUGCGGUACUAAAUACACGUGUCGUGCGUAUAUCCAUCCGCUAGGCAGGAGAAGAGCGCAAAGCAAAAAGAGCGGUGAGAUCAAAUGUAAAGCUUCACAGAAACUCAACGCGGUCGUAAGUUUCCUCGCUCGUGAUUGCCAGAUACUAUAUUUCUGUCGCGUAUACAGGAUGCUCACGCGGUUGUUAAACGAGUUUUUGUUGUAAAUUUUUCAAUAAACGUGACUAUUAUUGUCUUAAAAUAAGUACAGACAUAAACUAAUUUAAUCUGUAUAAAUAUCAACUAAUUCAUUUCAUACAAAUUUAUUUUUAUAUACAUCACGUUAGAAGUUUGAUUAUGAAAUGCGAGCCUGAUUAGUUCCCGAACAAAAUAUUGUCUUUCCAAACACGCGUAUCAGUUAAUUGCCAUUUUUUAUCGAAACACGAACGGUGAACGCGCAGAUAAUUGCCCUUAAUUAUGGGGCUCCGUCCUUUAGCCGCGUAAUCAUCCGAUUGAUGUUCUCUAGCGAGUGCGUAUAGUAUUCGGUUUCACGAUAUACAGUAUGUUCUGAGUGAGAGGGAGAGAGAGACUGUAAUAAGCGUGUAUGCAAUCAUCGACAAUUGAAUACGCAAUACGCGGUUAAGGGGCCGUGUAAUCCACCGGCGACAGAAGAACAGCCGCUCCUUGUUCUGCCGGGGACGAUAGCAACGCUAUUACAGGCGCUGUAACGACAUAGUAACCACCCAGAUGGACAGGAUCUGGUAGAAGUUACUCUCUUCUUCGUACAUUUCAGAGAAAACCAGUUCCUCGUUCGACGAAUGCGAACUACCGCGAAAUUCGUUUUCGAAUAAAUUCUCGAUAACGUUCCUACUAACGUUUGUUUUAAGAAUCGCAAGCACUUGAGAUGCUCGACAAAAAAAUGUAAUUUGAAUCAUUAAACGAUUGAUAAAGUCUUGAAAUAA